rnacentral:rRNA from 1 species
UCGGGAAUAUUGCGCAAUGGAGGGAACUCUGACGCAGUGACGCCGCGUAUAGGAAGAAGGUUUUCGGAUUGUAAACUAUUUUAGUCAGGGAAGAGAAAAGACAGUACCUGAAGAAUAAGCUCCGGCUAACUACGUGCC